CGGGCAGGAGCAGUCGGAGUAUGAUGGAUAGGUAGGCUGCGGGGGUGGUGUCUGGAAUAUACAUACGGUGUGUAUAGGAAGACUAUGUGAGGCUCAGGUGUGUGGGGUAGCACGAGCUAAAUUUAGAUAGCAUAAGAUUAGGUUAUUGGGGUAAAAAGCCAUUGAUUGAGUGCCUUUUGUAUGUCUGGAGCUUUACUACAAUCUUCUUUCUGGCCCCAAUAACUUAGAAGGUGGAUGUUCUUAUUCCCAUUUUAUUUAUGUCCGUGGUGGAUGCAUGGCAGAAUUGGGGUUCCAGCUUCUGUCUGUCCAGGUCCACAGCCCAUGCUCUUCGUACCACACUGGACGGAAGGGAGGUCUGCAUUAUUUAGAUUCUGAGCCAUAGACAACUAGGAUGUUGGAUGGAGGUAUUAGAAUAAGGCAGUGACAGGUGUUAAGGCGAAUCAGGUGAAGGUAACUAGAGCAAAGAAGUCAUUCAGAUGUUCGGUGGGUUGCUGAGAAUUAGGGAGGUGGGGGUGGGGGGUGAAAAGUAGCGAGUGAAAGAAGGUUGGUACAUUUUGUCAUUUAUGCAGGGGCUAUUUUUUUUUAAUUUUUUUUAAUGUUUAUUUUUGAGAGAGAGAGAGAGAGACAGCAUGAGCAGGGGAAGGGCAGAGAGAGAGACACACACAGAAUAUGAAGCAAGCUCCAGGCUCUGAGCUGUCAGCACAGAGCCCAAUACAGGGCUCGAACCCAUGGGCAGCGAGAUCAUAACCUGUGCUGAAGUCAGACUCUUAACUGACUGAGCCACCCAGGCACCCCAGAAGGGCUAUUUAUUGAGUGCCUACUGUGGGCCUGCAUGCAGGCACUUUCAGGCACUAGAGACAGCAGUGGGCACAACAAAGCACUGCCUUCUAGGAGCUGACCUAGUGGAGGUAACACAUUUAGGGAUUGAGCCUGUGCAUGAUUCUUAUCUUGUAUAUUCAGCUUUUGUUGCUGAAAUUACAAACAUGGUCCCCUCAAAAUGAGGUUCAGAAUUUAGCAGAGCCAACCCUCCCUGCCCUUCUAAGCAGAGGACAGGUGCCAUGUGCUGUGGGACAAGUAUUCCUGCAUGGAAGAGCCAACACCCCAGUGACAGGCAGUCGAUACCUCAUUUUCUGGAAAUAACUAAAACAAACCUCCCUCCUCAUCUGCAACAGGUUAAAUGAAUAUGAGGAGUAGAGGAAACUGUAGAUUGAUUGGGGGAAAGCACAACCCCUGAAGAUUAGGUUUUCUUGAAUGUACACAUUCCAAAGAAUAUGACUUGAAUGUGCCCUGCAGGGAGGGAGAGGACCCCAUGGCCAAAAUGGAAGCAAAUCCCUCCUUCCUCCAGCUGUUAAGAGGCCAUAGCACAGGAAGCUGGUUUUUAAAGGAAGACCUUUGGGAGCACCUGGGUGGCUCAGUUGGUUGAGUACUGACUUCGGCUCAAGUCACGAUUUCACAGUUCUGGACUUCGAGCCCCACAUCAGGCUCUGCACUGACAGCUCAGAACCUGGAGCCUGCUUCGGAUUCUGUGUCUCCCCCUCUCUCUCUGGCCCUCCCCUGCUCGCUCGCUCGCUUGCUCUCUCUCUCUCAAAAAAUAAAUAAUAAAACAUUUUUAAAAAUGUUAAAAAGUAAAAAUAAAGGAAGACCUUUGAGCUGUCAUUUGUUCCUUAUUCUUAGGUUCUUUACAAAAAGUUGUGUGUGUGUGUGUGUGUUUUUAGUUUCCAGCCACAAUACUUAAGUUAGUGCUGCCUCCUGCUGGAAGAGUUCGUUAAAACAAGGAAGGAAGUCUAGUCUCGGUGCUUCUGUACCAUUUAGUGAGGGGUGCCACAAGGAUUGUACACCUCAGCAUACUGCUUCACAUUAUCUCAAGAUGAUGCCCCUGGCUUCACGCUGUCUGAGAUGAAUACUGAAGGAAAAGUUCAGCCUAACCAGAGUUGCUGGGGGAGGUGGGGGGUGGGCAGAACCAGGGACGGCAUAGAACGCUUCUGCACUGUUCAGAUCUGGUUUGGGACAAGCUAGUUACAACCCUGCCUCCCCUCUCCAGUCAAACAGAGCCAUGCAGGCAGAUGUGCUACCUUCUGACCUCAGUUCACCACUCAUCAGUCAGCUCUAUCCAGCUAGGAACAAAGUUUGCAUGGCUUCUCGACUUGAGCUUUUGCCAUUGGGUUGCAUUUAAGCCUUUUUCUAGUCACUCUACCCUGACAUGGGAGGAACAAGACUUCCUUCCCAUAGGACAGACAGGACUCUGAACUAUUAAGAACUCUUUCCUUAGGCUCUAUCAGGAUAGGUUCAGAUUUGCAGUGGAAUCAUGGAUAUAAAUGUGGUUGUCCUGGGGCACCUGGGUGGCUCAGUCUGUUGUUUGACUUCAGCUCAGGUCAUGAUCUCACAUUCGUGAGUUUGAGGGCUGCAUUGGGUUCUGCGCUGACAGAUCAGAGCCUGGGGCCUGCUAUGGAUUCUGUGUCUGUCUCUCUCUCUGUAAAAACUAAACAUUGAAAAAUAAUAAUAAUGUAGUUGUCCCUCGGGUAAUCCCUCAGCUCUUGGGACUUUCAAGUUCUGAGCCAUUCAAGAACCACCAAGAAGCCCAUUCACAGCUGUGUUUCCUGGCCCCCAAGCUGAGCCUCUUAACUCAGACUAGGGACAUUUUAUAACGUACUAGACAGUUCUGAUGUCCUACAUAGUGGCAUUGAACUCUACUCUGUAAGCCUGAUGAACUUUGCCACUCAAUUCACUGACAAAUGAUGCUGGUGGUACUGAUUUGGAGGGAAAGUAGCAUGACUUCCUCUCUCCUUUCCUCCAUAGAUGGUAUCUGAACCAGAUCAGCUUUCUGUAGUGCAAGGGGCCCAGAGGCUGUGGUUCAUUACCUCCACCUAUUCAGCCCUGGGUUUAGAAGAUCUCAAAUCACAAAGGAAGAAGAUGGCACCACCAUUUUUCUGCUGUAGUCAAGAUAUAAUUGGAAAUGCCACUCCAUCAUCAGUGGAUAGUCCCUCCUUUGACAAGUUUUGGCACCUUCAAAUGGAACAAACCUUUUACCACUGAUUCCUCUUUCCCUCCUGGAGACUCCCAAUUCUUUCUUCAUCUCAGACUUGACGGCUUCCUUCAUGUUCCUCCAGGGUUGAAGAUAAGCCAUUGCAAACAGGAAGACAUUAUCAACCCAAGGAGAGCUAUCAAGACAGUUGGCCUGCUAUGUAUAACAUUCACAUAGAUGCCACACAAAGUAUAUGUGACCAGUGGGUAUUUGGAUCCAGUGAGGGGUGGGUAGCAGAGGGCCCUGGCUCUUGGGCCUGCAUCGUGAAAACUUAAAUCCCUGAAUGAGUAGCUGCAUUAAAAUUUACAGUUCAGUCAGAAGCUUUCUUUUGCCAAGGAAGGGAAAGAAAGGAAGUCGUAACAUUGUCUCCCCAGGAGUCUUCAUGGACUCCUGAAUGAAGUAAACCCACUCUCUGAUUUCCCCUACUUCAAUUCUCUGAUAAUUGCUGUCUUCUUGACCUUUCCCAGAUAGUUGGGUUUCUUGUACCAUACAGCUUCAUUUAUGUUCUGCGCUCCUGACUACACCUCAUCCCCUACAAUUCCAACAGAACAACCAUCC
rnacentral:lncRNA from 1 species